AGUGCCAUACUUUAAGUUAAAAGGUUAGAGUUGCAUACUAGAAAUGAGGGUAAUAUCCUCUGGUGCUG
rnacentral:tRNA from 1 species